GAGACAUUUUGGGACAUAUUCAAUAACUUCUUGAGUUUAUAAUUUAUACUACAUAAUAAAAAGUAGAGGUUGCUAUAAUGUGUAAGAUGACAGGAUUUUUGAGAUAAAACUAGGUUUAGUUUCUAGCUCUGCUACUUGCUAUGUGUAAUGGGAAAUAUGAAUUUAAUUACCUUUCAGGUACAGUGUCUACCACUGUUUUGUACACUACACAUAAUAUAUGCUAAGCUUAAUGUCUGGCACAUAAGUGGCAUGACAUUAAUGCCAGUUCUCUUUAGUAACAAGUAUUCUGACAGUCUCAGUUCUACAAGACACCUUUCCUUUGCUGCGGUCCAGGUCCCUGGCCACCUGCACUGCUGGCCUCCAUGGCUGUGACUCAGGUCCCCAUGACCCUCUCAGGUUGUUCGUUGGCUAGAGGAGUGCACAGAGCUCCAGAAAACACCUUACUAGAUCAGUAGCUGGGUUUCAGAACAUUAGUACCGGAUUCCUUUAAGCUAUUGAUGUUUCUUUAUUUGGCGAAGGUACCACUGAUUUGCUUCUCAGUAACAUAAGUAACAUGUGCUGUGAGAUCCUUAGAUGAAAGAAACAGGUAAAUGCCAUAUUCUUGAGGAGUCUUUAUCAAAUUCCGGUAUUGUAGGGGUUUUUUUUUUUUGCUUAGACUUUUAUCCUCAGAUAGCUGUACUCUAAUCCUGUGACUGCUAAUUCUCCAAUGUGAUGUGACAAAAACAGAUCAUCUUUCUGACGGGAAUAAGGCUCAUUUUUCUUAAACUAUUAGGUCAUGAAAUUUGAGUAGAAAUGCCUCUUGAUAGCUUUAAUCUCUUUUUUUUUUUUGGUACCGGGGAUCGAACUUGGGACCUUGCGCUUUCAAAGCAGGCGGCUGAACCACUGAGCUAAAUCCCUGGCCCACUUUAAUCUCUUUGAUGAUAACACCAUGUGAAUUUUUGUAGCCUGAAGAGGAAGGGAAGUUUGUUUGGAAUUAUAAAAUCUUUCCUGCUUAUAUUAGACUUUUUCUUACCCCUGCCCCAUAUAAAUAUGUGCUUCUUAAGAGAUGUGGGCAUUGUCUUGUCUAAACACAGGAACUUCUUGGAUUGUAGCCUUUAAAUUGAUAUUUUAAACAUUUUUUAACAUCCUUUACAAGUGUGCAAGAGUAAGCAUCGGUUUAACCCAGUGCCUAGCAGAGUUCCCAGUACACAUCAGGCAUGCAGUAACUAUUUGUCACCCUUCUAGGAUUGGGAACAUCUGUUUUACCCUUUGCUUGAAGUCACUCUCAAAAAACCAACAAAUGUGCAGUCACCAUGUCACUGAACAGGGCCUGAGGAAGUCCUGAGGAAAUGGGACCCAAAGGUUCUUUGACUCUUGUCGCAGGAAAGCAUUUCAGAACCGUCAGUGUGAGGUCCAGGCCGACUUACCAACAGGUAUAGAAGGGAAAGAAAGUAGGGAAGGGACUUUAGCCUGGGGAGUGAGGGCAAAACUCUGAUAGGAGGGUCAGACUGGUCCAUGGAGACCGGAGGUCAGGUUGGUGGAUGCGCUAGGGUGGUGAAGAGUCUGGUUGAUCAUUAUUCCGUUCUGGUUUGAAAGAUAGCUCAGGCAAAAGUCCUUAUUCCUUGAGAGGCAACCUGGUCCCUGAGAAGAGACUGUUUCUGCUUGAGGCAGUCUGUUUUCUGCGGCUUUGCUGGAAUCCAGGAUGCACAUGGUAGUUAAAUGUCCCUGUACCUCUUGUCCCCUGGUGCCCUCAGUCUUGAAGAGUAAUGAGAUAAGUUAUGUAAAGUCAGGCCCAUUUGACCUGUUUUAGCUUCCCGUUUGUUGUAUACAGUCCUCACUACUGAGGGAUUUGGGGUGCUGUCAUCUGACUGGCCAUUUAUUCCUGGAUUGGUGUGUAGAUUCCAUCAAAGGUGUCAAAGGUGUAUAAGUAAAAGGAGCCAGGUGCUUGAGCCUGAGAAAUGCCACUAAAGACUGUGGCGCAGCGUACCGGGGAGCCAAAGUCAGACAAUAUCCCAACAGCUCCUUCUAGUGGGAAGGCAUUUGCUUUGAGGCAGUCUCCUAUUAAGAGC
rnacentral:lncRNA from 1 species